rnacentral:rRNA from 1 species
UACGAAGGAUGCAAGCGUUAUCCGGAUUCAUUGGGUUUAAAGGGAGCGUAGGUGGCCUUAUAAGUCAGUGGUGAAAUCUCUCAGCUUAACUGAGAACUUGCCAUUGAUACUGUAGGGCUUGAGUACAGAUGCCGUUGGCGGAAUAUGACAUGUAGUGGUGAAAUACAUAGAGAUGUCAUAGAACACCGAUUGCGAAGGCAGCUAACGAAACUGUAACUGACACUGAGGCUCGAAAGUGCGGGGAUCAAACAGGAUUAGAAACCCCCGUAGUCC